rnacentral:rRNA from 1 species
AUUGAACGCUGGCGGCAGGCCUAACACAUGCAAGUCGAACGGCAGCACAGAAGAGCUUGCUCUUUGGGUGGCGAGUGGCGGACGGGUGAGUAAUGUCUGGGAAACUGCCCGAUGGAGGGGGAUAACUACUGGAAACGGUAGCUAAUACCGCAUAACGUCGCGAGACCAAAGUGGGGGACCUUCGGGCCCCACACCAUCGGAUGUGCCCAGAUGGGAUUAGCCAGUAGGUGGGGUAAUGGCUCACCUAGGCGACGAUCCCUAGCUGGUCUGAGAGGAUGACCAGCCACACUGGAACUGAGACACGGUCCAGACUCCUACGGGAGGCAGCAGUGGGGAAUAUUGCACAAUGGGCGCAAGCCUGAUGCAGCCAUGCCGCGUGUAUGAAGAAGGCCUUCGGGUUGUAAAGUACUUUCAGCGGGGAGGAAGGCGGUGAGGUUAAUAACCUCGCCGAUUGACGUUACCCGCAGAAGAAGUACCGGCUAACUCCGUGCCAGCAGCCGCCGUAA